CAGAGAAUAGUUUAAAUAAAAUUUUAAUUUUGGAGAUUAAGGAUAAAAUAAUAAAGUUUUUUCUCUGA
rnacentral:tRNA from 1 species